rnacentral:rRNA from 1 species
CCUACGGGAGGCAGCAGCCGCGGUAAUAUUGGACAAUGGGCGAAAGCCUGAUCCAGCCAUGCCGCGUGUGUGAAGAAGGUCUUCGGAUUGUAAAGCACUCUAAGUUGGGAGGAAGGGCAGUAAGUUAAUACCUUGCUGUUUUGACGUUACCGACAGAAUAAGCACCGGCUAACUCCGUGCCAGCAGCCGCGGUAAU